UACGGAGGGUGCAAGCGUUAAUCGGAAUUACUGGGCGUAAAGCGCACGUAGGUGGUUUGCUAAGUCCACUGUUAAAUCUUGGGGCUCAACCUCAAAAUCGCAGUCGAAACUAUUAGGCUAGAGUAUAGUAGGGGUAAAGGGAAUUUCCAGUGGAGCGGUGAAAUGCGUAGAGAUUGGAAAGAACACCGAUGGCGAAGGCACUUUACUGGGCUAUUACUAACACUCAGAGACGAAAGCGAGGGUAGCAAAUGGG
rnacentral:rRNA from 1 species